CCUACGGGGCGCAGCAGUGGGGAAUAUUGCACAAUGGGGGAAACCCUGAUGCAGCGACGCCGCGUGAGUGAAGAAGUAUCUCGGUACGUAAAGCUCUAUCAGCAGGGAAGAAAAAAGUCUUUGGCUUUGGACGGUACCUGACUAAGAAGCCCCGGCUAACUACGUGCCAGCAGCCGCGGUAAUACGUAGGGGGCAAGCGUUAUCCGGAUUUACUGGGUGUAAAGGGAGCGUAGACGGCAGUGCAAGUCUGAAGUGAAAGGCGGGGGCCCAACCCCCGGACUGCUUUGGAAACUGUGCUGCUGGAG
rnacentral:rRNA from 1 species